AGCGAACAUUGGCGGUAGGCUUAACACAUGCAAGUCGAGCGAGGCGUAAUAGUCGAGCGGCGAACGGGUGAGUAAUACAUGGGAAUCUACCCUGAAGUGGGGGAUAACGUUCAGAAAUGGACGCUAAUACCGCAUAAUCCACAUUGGGAAAGCGUUGCAGCGCUUUAGGAUGAGCCCAUGGCUGAUUAGCUAGUUGGUGAGGUAAUGGCUCACCAAGGCGACGAUCAGUAGCUGGUCUGAGAGGAUGAUCAGCCACACUGGAACUGAGACACGGUCCAGACUCCUACGGGAGGCAGCAGUGGGGAAUCUUGCGCAAUGGGGGCAACCCUGACGCAGCCAUACUGCGUGAGUGAUGAAGGUCUUCGGAUUGUAAAGCUCUUUCGGCGGGGACGACGAUGACGGUACCCGCAAAAGAAGUCACGGCUAACUUCGUGCCAGCAGCCGCCGUAA
rnacentral:rRNA from 1 species